AGUCCUCUCUCCUGCGCCGCAUGCUGCCUCGCGCUCCCUUUCCUUCCCCCUCUACCCCCUUCCGCGAUUUACUGUUUCCUCGCGCCCAACAGAAAUGGGCGACCGCAAGUCUUACUCUCGCCGGCGUUACAAAGGUACCGGCCUUUGACCUCUCCUUGAAUUAAUGUGAUCCGAUUCAUCUUCCCUCCAAGUUUUUUUUUUAAUUUAAUUACCCCUCCCUGCCCUGGCCCUGCCAGCUUCAGCUCCACCUCCUUGGAGGAAGCAGGCGCUUUUACAGAGCGCCGCGCGGCAGGUCCCCUUUCAGCCAAUCACAUCUGCGGAACCGCGUUCCGAGUCGUUUGAGGGUGUCUGGUAAAGCAAGCUCGGGGCGGUGUUGGAAAUCUGAAUGUCACCCGCGGUCCGGAGCAGAUAGGAUGGGCUGGGAAGGUACCCGCGAACUGCCGCCGGAAUUCGCUGGCAGCUGUGCGAGGCUCAGGUGUUCUAGUUUGACAUUUCCCUUCCUGAAAGCGGCAAGGAGAGGUCUAAGAGUGGGCAAACUUCAACGUUCGGUUACAGUGUAAUUAAUGAGAGUGGUGGGUUUUUAUGCAGUGUAAUUAUGCCACGAUUUGUUGUUGCUCAGUGGCUUUUUCACAAAUUUCUACAGAUUAUUUAAAUUUUCCACAAAUUUCUACGGAUUAAUUCAAUGGCAGCUCACUUUCUCCUUUUAUGAUCGGAUGGGUCCGAAAGUGAGGAAAAAGACAAUUGUCUACAAAGAAAGAGGCUGCCAAGUGGAGACAGAAAAGCAGUUAUGAGACUGAUGAUAGAUUCCAAUUUGUUAUCGUACACGGGUGCUCUAGAUUUUCCUAUCAAUAGAGGGCGUCCUCGAGUCAUUGCAAAUCCUGGUGUCGUUAAACGGAACUGUUCUUCAGAGGAAAAACUUCAUCUCUAUAAGAAAGGAAGGAGGAGACCUGAACAGUACAUCCGGAGAAUCCAGCAAAGCAUACUACGGCAUGAACGUGCAAGUGGACAGAAUUAAAACACAUGCCAGAAACACUAA
rnacentral:lncRNA from 1 species